rnacentral:rRNA from 1 species
GUGAGGAAUAUUGCGCAAUGGGCGAAAGCCUGACGCAGCGACGCCGCGUGGAGGAUGAAGGUCUUCGGAUUGUAAACUUCUGUUAAGUGGGAAGAAAGGGCUGCUUUUAAUAGAAGCAGUUAAUGACGGUACCAUUAAAGAAAGCACCGGCUAAACUCGUGCCAGCAGCCGCGGUAAUACGAGUGGUGCAAGCGUUAUUCGGAAUAAUUGGGCGUACAGGGUGUGUAGGCGGUAUGUUAAGUCUGUUGUUAAAGACUCCGGCCUAACCGGAGACAGGCAGCGGAAACUGGAGUACUAGAGGGUGGAAGAGAGAAGUGGAAUUCUCGGUGUAGCGGUAAAAUGCGUAGAUAUCGAGAGGAACACCGAUGGCGAAGGCAGCUUCUUGGUCCAUACCUGACGCUGAAACACGAAAGCGUGGGGAGCAAACAGGAUUAGAAACCCGAGUAGUCC